AGAGUUUGAUCAUGGCUCAGAACGUACGCUGGCGGCACGCCUAACACAUGCAAGUCGAACGAAGUAGCAAUACUUAGUGGCAGACGGGUGAGUAACAUGUAGGUAUCUUCCCUUUGGCCUGGAAUAACACGAGGAAACUUGUGCUAAUACCGGAUAAGUCUUUACGGAGAAAGCUUUAUGCACCAUUGGAUGAGCCUGCACUUGAUUAGUUUGUUGGUGGGGUAAUGGCCUACCAAGACUGUGAUCAAUAGCUGAUUUGAGAGGAUGAUCAGCCACAUUGGGACUGAGACACGGCCCAAACUCCUACGGGAGGCAGCAGUGGGGAAUCUUGCACAAUGGAGGAAACUCUGAUGCAGCGAUGCCGCGUGAGUGAAGAAGGCCCUUGGGUUGUAAAGCUCUUUCGUCGGGGAAGAAAAUGACUGUACCCGAAUAAGAAGGUCCGGCUAACUUCGUGCCAGCAGCCGCGGUAAUACGAAGGGACCUAGCGUAGUUCGGAAUUACUGGGCUUAAAGAGUUCGUAGGUGGUUGAAAAAGUUAGUGGUGAAAUCCCAGAGCUUAACUCUGGAACUGCCAUUAAAACUUUUCAGCUAGAGUAUGAUAGAGGAAAGCAGAAUUUCUAGUGUAGAGGUGAAAUUCGUAGAUAUUAGAAAGAAUACCAAUUGCGAAGGCAGCUUUCUGGAUCAUUACUGACACUGAGGAACGAAAGCAUGGGUAGCGAAGAGGAUUAGAUACCCUCGUAGUCCAUGCCGUAAACGAUGUGUGUUAGACGUUGGAAAUUUAUUUUCAGUGUCGCAGCGAAAGCGAUAAACACACCGCCUGGGGGAGUACGA
rnacentral:rRNA from 1 species